rnacentral:rRNA from 1 species
UACGUAGGGGGCAAGCGUUAUCCGGAUUUACUGGGUGUAAAGGGAGCGUAGACGGCAGUGCAAGUCUGGAGUGAAAGGCGGGGGCUCAACCCCCGGACUGCUCUGGAAACUGUACGGCUGGAGUGCAGGAGAGGUAAGUGAAAUUCCUAGUGUAGCGGUGAAAUGCGUAGAUAUUAGGAGGAACACCAGUGGCGAAGGCGGCUUACUGGACUGUAACUGACGUUGAGGCUCGAAAGCGUGGGGAGCAAACAGG